rnacentral:rRNA from 1 species
UACAGAGGGGGCAAGCGUUGGUCGGAAUUACUGGGCGUAAAGGGCGCGUAGGCGGCCUUCUAAGUCGAACGUGAAAUCCCUGGGCUCAACCCAGGAACUGCGUCCGAUACUGGUUGGCUUGAAUCCGGGAGAGGGAUGUGGAAUUCCAGGUGUAGCGGUGAAAUGCGUAGAUAUCUGGAGGAACACCGGUGGCGAAGGCGACAUCCUGGACCGGUAUUGACGCUGAGGCGCGAAAGCCAGGGGAGCAAACGGG